rnacentral:rRNA from 1 species
UACGGAGGGUGCAAGCGUUAUCCGGAUUCACUGGGUUUAAAGGGUGCGUAGGCGGACAGGUAAGUCAGUGGUGAAAUCUCUGGGCUUAACCCAGAAACUGCCGUUGAUACUAUUUGUCUUGAAUAUCCUGGAGGUAGGCGGAAUAUGUCAUGUAGCGGUGAAAUGCUUAGAUAUGACAUAGAACACCGAUAGCGAAGGCAGCUGGCUACGCGAAUAUUGACACUGAUGCACGAAAGCGUGGGGAUCAAACAGG